AUCCAGCUGACCAGUUCCAAACAGGACGAAACGCGCGUCCUGGAU
rfam:Schistosoma haematobium scaffold183_3, whole genome shotgun sequence.